rnacentral:sRNA from 1 species
GCCGAGGAAACAAAAAAUACUCCGAGGGACCUUAUUCUGGAGCAUAUGGUUCGUGCUGAAACAAUUUGGACUUAAGUUGCGAAUAUAUUUCUCUUCUUACAACUACCGUCAUCAAUAUGCCAGAAAAAAAUUCUUCAAACAACUUGUGAAAUCAAUUAAAUGCGGAUCUUUUACCAUUUCUUGAAAGAUAUGGACAUUUGUCAGCUCAAAUCCAGUUUUAGUUCAAAUCUCCUUGACAACCAUCCCCUUCAG